rnacentral:lncRNA from 1 species
GUAUGUAUUUGGCUUGAUUAUUUUUAGGAACAGAAGACUCUGAAAGAAACAGACCUUCCCUUUAAUUGCCUAAAAGAAUUUAAGAUAGAAGUACUGUUUCAGGAAGGAACUAAUACCAUAAGAUAACUAUAGUGUAAUUUAAACUAAGUGUGAUAUAAACACACUAACAAGCCCAUUUUUUAAUCAAAUUUCUGCCUAUUGGUUGCCCAGCACACAUUUAUUUAAGAAACAUUUGCAUUUCCAUCUCCAUGUAAGUUGUCUUCCUCCCUUUGAAGAUCCGACCAUUACCUGCAACACUCUCAUUUGUCUUUAGCUGAGGAUGGUAUUUAAGGUUGUGGCUUUGGACAGUCUGAUUUAAAAAGAGCAAUUCGACUUGGUGUGUCAACUGGUGAUGGAAAUCCCAGGAUGAGGGGAUUAAUCCCUGUGCUCUUGGAUCAAAAUAUGCAGGGUCAAGAGAAAAACGAAAGAGAGCCCAGGAUGUGUCUUCCACCAUCCUAAGGACCAACUGAAGAUUCAUCUCCAAGAGCUCUUCCCAGCUAACUCUACCCAACAAUAUUUUCCCUGCCACCAUCUGUUUACUUAUUUGUGACUUUCUAAUAACUCAGGUUUUCUUUGUGAAGACUCUGUACUCUUCAUCACAUCGGGGGGCCAUUUGUCCAGGGCUUCAUAAAAAUGGUGUUCUUGCCAUCUCUACUCCCUCAGUCAGCAGUUUUCUCAUCAGAACAAGACACAUGAACUGUUAGAAUUUGGGGAUUCAGUGACACAGUUUCACCUUGUAAAUCUGUUUCUAGUUACGGCCUUCAGAAAGACAAUAUUUUAAAAAAAAUUUGGACUCUGAAAGCAUGUCCUAUUCCAAUGAGAUGGAAUGCAAUUCACAACAACCGCUUUCCAAGCACUUGUUUUGUUUUGUACUAGGCAUUGAGCUCUUUGAAAGGAGCAAUUGUUUAAAUUAGACAGAUGUGGGUUCCACUUCUUGACUCACCAUAUAUUAGUGUGUGACCCAGUGCACAGGUUCACAGUCAUUGUUAGUUCCAUUCCCUUUAUUUCUUCCAUGAUAUUUUCUUUUACGUUGCCAUGGGCAUAUUUAAUAAAUAUAAUUAAAAUGUGUCGUUGGGAUUAUUUAUUAUUGAUGACUUUGGUGAUCCCUGUUCAUAUUCUGAAACCACUGCCCUAGACAAUGUGGAGUAAAUCACUAAAGGGAGGAGAUAGGGGGAAAAGAUGAAGAAACUCUCCCUUGACACUCACAGGACUCUUCCCAAUGCUGAGACAUACAGAGUGGAUUACAGCUGAGUGUUUUUGAACAAAGGCUUAAUAAACUUCAACCUCCGUGGUACCAAGUACUGAAGUCACAGUGAAAUACAGCAGUACAAAAACCCUCUUCUUCUUUUUCACCGUUUCUUGGCAUUUUGCCAUCACCAACCUCUGCCAUCGGAAUACCUCUAAAAUCUUUCACCAAUGCUGUUAUUGUGGUUAAAUGCUAUAAAACUCAGAGGCACAGAAUGAUUACAAUCACACAAAUCAAUGAGUAAAACACUAAAAACCUAAAAAAUUAAUGGACAAAGGGCAAAUGCAGAAAUUCACUUAUUGGUCAACAAACUUCAAAAAAUGUUUUAACUCUCUGGUAAUAAAAAUGCAAAUAAAGAAUUAAGAAACCAUUUUUUUUGUACAGAUAUCUAAGCAAUCCUUUUAGAAAAAAAGUGAUGUUCUCAAUGCUGGCAAGAUGUUGGUAUCAAUAUAAAUUGUUGUAUUUUUAUUGGAAACCAAUUAGUUUAUACCAACAGGGUGAAAAUAUUUAUACUAGUUUGAGCAAAUAGUUCCACUUUGGCAAAUUGACUUUAAGAACAUACUAUACCUGUUUGAAUAUAAAGUGAGGUUUAUCAUUGUCAGAGAAGAGAGAAUCCCCAUAAAAUGGAUUCCUUAUAAAAAUUACAAACAGCAAUAUUACAAUGCUUUCACGCAAUUAUUUUAUUUUGCACAAUUAAGUACAGUUUAGCGAAGACACAUUAACCUGGGAUGAUCUCAUUCAAUGCUGGUUCAUAGAUACUCAAGGAAGUCAGCUGAUGAGGUUAGUAAAAAGGUGACUAAGUAAUUUAACAAAACUUAGUAACUAUUCUUGCAAAUAUGUCUUUGAAAUUACAAAUAUUCAAUAUUGUUUAAAUAAAUCUUUUAAAGGAAAUUUUUUGUUG